rnacentral:misc_RNA from 1 species
GGAGUGCUUCAACAGUGCUUGGACGCUCC